GCAUAUCAAUAAGCGGAGGAAAAGAAACCAACAGGGAUUGCCUUAGUAACGGCGAAGUGAAGCGGCAACAGCUCAAAUUUGAAAUCUGGCCCUCGGGUCCGAAUUGUAAUUUGUAGAGGAUGAUUUUGGUGCGGUAUCUUCCGAGUUCCUUGGAACAGGACGCCUUAGAGGGUGAGAGCCCCGUACGGUUGAAUGCCUAGCCUCUGUAAAUCUCCUUCGACGAGUCGAGUAGUUUGGGAAUGCUGCUCUAAAUGGGAGGUAAAUUUCUUCUAAAGCUAAAUAUUGGCCAGAGACCGAUAGCGCACAAGUAGAGUGAUCGAAAGAUGAAAAGCACUUUGAAAAGAGGGUUAAAUAGCACGUGAAAUUGUUGAAAGGGAAGGAUUUGUGACCAGACUUUUUCUGGGCGGAUCAUCCGGGGUUCUCUCCGGUGCACUUUGCCCAGUAAAGGCCAGCAUCGAUUUUCGGCGGCGGAUAAAAGCAGUGGGAAUGUGGCUCCUUACGGGGAGUGUUAUAGCCCAUUGUAUAAUACGCUGCUGGGGAUCGAGGUACGCGCUUCUGCAAGGAUGCUGGCGUAAUGGUUAUCAAUCACCCGUCUUGAAACACGGACCAAGGAGUCGAACAUUUAUGCGAGUGUUUGGGUGUUAAACCCUCACGCGUAAUGAAAGUGAACGGAGGUGAGAGCCUGUAUGGGUGCAUCAUCGACCGAUCCUGAAGUUUUCGGAUGGAUUUGAGUAAGAGCAUAACUGUUCGGACCCGAAAGAUGGUGAACUAUGCGUGGAUAGGGUGAAGCCAGAGGAAACUCUGGUGGAGGCUCGCAGCGGUUCUGACGUGCAAAUCGAUCGUCAAAUCUGCGCAUGGGGGGCGAAAGACUAAUCGAACCCAUCUAGUAGCUGGUUACCGCCGA
rnacentral:rRNA from 1 species